GACAGAGGUGCCGAGCGUUAGGCGGAAUCACUGGGCUUAAAGCGUGUGUAGGCGGACCGUUAAGUGUCUUGUGAAAUCCCCCGGCUCAACCGGGGAAUUGCUGGGCAUACUGGCGGUCUUGAGCAGUCUAGGGGCAGAUGGAACAAGUGGUGGAGCGGUGAAAUGCGUAGAUAUCACUUGGAACGCCAAAGGUGAAGACAGUCUGCUGGGGACUUGCUGACGCUGAGACACGGAAGCCAGGGGAGCGAACGGG
rnacentral:rRNA from 1 species